GGAGAGGUGGCUCAGUGGUUAAAAGCACUGGCUACUUUUCCAGAGGACCUGGGUUCAAUUCCCAGCAACNACA
rfam:Neotoma lepida isolate 417 scaffold_954, whole genome shotgun sequence.